ensembl:lncRNA
GCAAAGAGCAAGUCGUUAAUCUCAGCUGUACAAAAUCCGACAUUCUCUAAAACCAUCUUCUGGAGGGUACUGUAGGUUGAGUACUUUGCGGAUACAAGAAUAACUGCAACAAAUGAUUUGAUAAUAACGCACGAGUUGGUCACAUCUCCCCUCAUUUUUUCCACCCAUAAUUUGGUCAAUUUUGCCAAUUCCCAGCCUCCAUCCAGCUCUCCUCAGGACGAACGCGCCAUCCACAUACAUGCCUAUGAUUGGCUACUGUUGCUGUGAUUGGGGAGAGAGAGAGAGAGCAAGAGAGUGAGGAAAUGUGAGAGAGAGAGAAUGAGAGUGAGCGAGUGUGUGAGAGAGACCGACAGUGAGUGAGAGAGAGAGUGAGCGAGUGUGAGAGAAAGAGCGAGAGAGAGUAUGAGAGACCGAGAGUGAGUGAGAGAAUGAGAGAGAGAGAGAGAGUGUGAGAAGUGAGAGAGAAUGUGAGAGAGUGAGUGAGAGAGAGCGUAGGGAGAGAGUGAGUGAGAGAGAGAGAGUAAGAGACAGAGAGGGGGAGGAGAGUGUGAAAGAGAGUGGAGAGAGAGUGAGAGACCGAGAGAGAAUGUGAGAGUGUGAGAGUGUGAGUGAGAGAGAGAGAGUUAGAGAGAGUGAGGGGGGAGUGUGUUGUGAGAGAGAGCGGUGGGAGAGAGUGAGUGAGAGAGAGAGAGUAAGAGACAGAGGGGGGAGAGAGUGUGAAAGAGAAGGAGGAGAGAGUGUGAGAGAGCGAGAGACUGAGAGAGUGUGAGAGUGUGAGUGAGAGAGAGAGAGAGAGAGAGAGAGAGAGAGAGAGAGAGAGAGAGAUAAUGCCCCACACACACAGGUGAUUGUGAGAGUUGAAUCUGGAGCAAUAAAUUUACAGAUGCGUUGAGUAAAACAGUGCGUAUUUUAUAAAACAUGAGCCACGUUUAUCCCAUCCGUUAUAAUUCAUACCACAAAUCUACAAUGAACACAAGCAAACUAACAUCUUCAUGUUUGAUACGAAAGAAAUAACGAAACUAAUUUCUUAACUAAAACAGCGAUUUUUCUCAAAUUUUUCACUGUUGCUUACAUCUUGUUCAUCUACUGCUGUGGAGAUGUGCAUAUGUGAUGUAUUCUCUCAUCAGCCAAUCACAUGUCUGUUGUGCACAUUGCUUAAAUAACAUUCAUGACCUUGGAGUCAAACAUGAGGCAUGAGGCAAAGUACUGAAACAUUAACCGAUAUAUGAAACCAAAACACCGAAUAUGAUUAUCAAAGCAAAUCUAGGAAACUUUCCUGACCUUCAAAUGACCUUUAAGUUGAUUGACCAAAUUAUUUAUUUAUUUGUUUGUUU